AGUGAACGCUGGCGGUAGGCCUAACACAUGCCAGUCGAACGGCAGCACAGUAAGAGCUUGCUCUUACGGGUGGCGAGUGGCGGACGGGUGAGGAAUACAUCGGAAUCUACUUUUUCGUGGGGGAUAACGUAGGGAAACUUACGCUAAUACCGCAUACGACCUACGGGUGAAAGCAGGGGAUCUUCGGACCUUGCGCGAUUGAAUGAGCCGAUGUCGGAUUAGCUAGUUGGCGGGGUAAAGGCCCACCAAGGCGACGAUCCGUAGCUGGUCUGAGAGGAUGAUCAGACACACUGGAACUGAGACACGGUCCAGACUCCUACGGGAGGACGCAGUGGGGAAUAUUGGACAAUGGGGGCAAGCCGGAUACAGCCAUACCGCGUGGGUGAAGAAGGCCUUCGGGUUGUAAAGCCCUUUUGUUGGGAAAGAAAAGCAGCAGGUUAAUACCCCGCUGUUCUGACGGUACCCAAAGAAUAAGCACCGGCUAACUUCGUG
rnacentral:rRNA from 1 species